AUAAGCAAUUAUACAGCGAAACUGCGAAUGGCUCAUUAUAUAAGUUAUCGUUUAUUUGAUAGUACCUUACUACUUGGAUAACCGUGGUAAUUCUAGAGCUAAUACAUGCUAAAAAUCCCGACUUCGGAAGGGAUGUAUUUAUUAGAUUAAAAACCAAUGCCCUCCGGGGCUCACUGGUGAUUCAUGAUAACUCCUCGAAUCGCAUGGCCUUGCGCCGGCGAUGGUUCAUUCAAAUUUCUUCCCUAUCAACUUUCGAUGUUUGGGUAUUGGCCAAACAUGGUUGCAACGGGUAACGGAGGGUUAGGGCUCGACCCCGGAGAAGGAGCCUGAGAAACGGCUACUACAUCCAAGGAAGGCAGCAGGCGCGCAAAUUACCCAAUCCCGACUCGGGGAGGUAGUGACAAUAAAUACUGAUACAGGGCUCUUUUGGGUCUUGUAAUUGGAAUGAGUACAAUUUAAAUCCCUUAACGAGGAACAAUUGGAGGGCAAGUCUGGGAAAA
rnacentral:rRNA from 1 species